rnacentral:rRNA from 1 species
GAUGAACGCUGGCGGCGUGGAUAAGGCAUGCAAGUCGUACGGUCGAGCACAUAACUUGUUAUAUGCUCGAUAGUGGCGAACGGGUUAGUAACACGUAGAUACAAACCCUAUUCAUGAGUAUAACUAAUCGAAAGAUUAGCUAAUCCUCGAUGGUCCGAGCAUAUAAUUUUAUUGUGUGCUCAGUAAAGGUUUCGCAAGAAGCCGGAAUAGGAUUGGUCUGCGGCCUAUCAGCUAGUUGGUGAGGUAAUAGCUCACCAAGGCGAUGACGGGUAGGGGAGAUGAGAGUCUGUUCCCCAACAAGGGCACUGCGACACGGGCCCUACUCCUACGGGAGGCAGCAGUCGAGAAUAUUGGACAAUGGGGGAAACCCUGAUCCUGCGACGCCGCGUGCUCGAAGAAGCCCUUCGGGGUGUAAAGAGCUUUUCUAAGGGAAGAACCUUCGGGUGACGGUACCUUAGGAAUAAGGGGGUGCUAACUCUGUGCCAGCAGCAGCGGUAAUACAGAGCCCCCAAGCGUUAUCCGGAUUUAUUGGGCGUAAAGAGUCUGUAGGCGCCCCGUCAGGUUUUCUGUUAAAUCUCUAGGGCUUAACCUUAGAACUGCAGAAAAAACCGGUGGGGUAGAGGGCGUUAGAGGCUGAUGGAAUGGUCGGUGUAGGGGUGAAAUCCGUUGAUAUCGACCGGAACACCAAAUGCGAAGGCAUUCAGCUGGGGCGACCCUGACGCUGAGAGACGAAAGCGUGGGUAGCAAAAAGGAUUAGAUACCCUUGUAGUCCACGCUGUAAACGAUGGACACUGGCUAUCUGAAGUGUCGACCCUUCAGGUGGCGAAGCUAACGCGUUAAGUGCCCCGCCUGGGAAGUACGACGGCAACGUUAAAACUCAAAGGAAUAGACGGGGACUCACACAAGCGGUGGACCAUGUGGCUUAAUUCGACGAUAAACGAGGAACCUUACCAGGGCUUGACAGGCUAGUGAAAAGUUGAGGAAACUCGACUCUACCCACAAGGACACUAGCCCAGGUGCUGCAUGGUUGUCGUCAGCAUGUAUCUUGAGACGCUCCCUUAAAUGGGGUAACAUGCGCAACCCUUGCCCUAUGUUUAAUUUGUCAUAGGGGACUGCCUUGGAUAACAAGGAGGAAGGUGAGGAUGACGCCAAAUCAGCAUGGCCCUUUGAUGCCCUGGGCUGCACACGUGGUACAAUGGGGCUGACAAUGGGUUGCUAAGUCGUAAGACGGAGCUAAUCCCAUCAAACGGCCUCUCAGUUCGGAUUGAGGUCUGCAACUCGACCUCAUGAAGCUGGAAUCGCUAGUAAUCGCCAAUCAGCCAUGUGGCGAUGAAUAUGUUUCUGAGUCUUGUACUCACCGCCCGUCA